rnacentral:rRNA from 1 species
GACGAACGCUGGCGGCGGGCUUAACACAUGCAAGUCGAACGGAAUCCAUGGAGCUUGCUCCGGAAGAUUUAGUGGCGAACGGGUGAGGAACACGUGAGAAACCUGCCCCGAACUUUGGGAUAACAGUUGGAAACAACUGCUAAUACCAAAUACCUCCGCGAUGUGGCAUCACAUUGCGAAGAAAGAAUUUCGGUUCGGGAGGGUCUCGCGGCCUAUCAGCUAGUUGGUGGGGUAAUGGCCUACCAAGGCAUCGACGGGUAGCUGGUCUGAGAGGAUGAUCAGCCACACUGGGACUGAGACACGGCCCAGACUCCUACGGGAGGCAGCAGUGGGGAAUCUUGUGCAAUGGGGGCAACCCUGACACAGCCACGCCGCGUGCGGGAAGAAGGCCUUCGGGUCGUAAACCUCUUUUAGCAGGGAAGAAGCGAAAGUGACGGUACCUGCAGAAAAAGCACCGGCUAACUACGUGCCAGCAGCCGCCGUAA